UACGUAGGGGGGCUAGCGUUGUCCGGAAUCAUUGGGCGUAAAGCGCGUGUAGGCGGCCCGGUAAGUCCGCUGUGAAAGUCGGGGGCUCAACCCUCGAAAGCCGGUGGAUACUGUCGGGCUCGAGUACGGAAGAGGCGAGUGGAAUUCCUGGUGUAGCGGUGAAAUGCGCAGAUAUCAGGAGGAACACCAAUUGCGAAGGCAGCUCGCUGGGGCGUUACUGACGCUGAGACGCGAAAGCGUGGGGGAGCAAACAGG
rnacentral:rRNA from 1 species